AUUCUUCAUAUUAUAAGAGUUCGAACGGUGAUAAAUGUUAUAAUUUAAGGUUUAUUUCACAAAUGGUGAUAAACCAUUUCAUUAAGAUACAUCAUUUGUCAUCAGCGCAGCUCGAAAGAUAAACGUGACCAAAAGACACAACGCAAUGUCGUAUAAAGGCGACACAAUGUUAUACAUACUACAGCUGUCUGCAAAAAUAUGUCUGCUCAUAAUAGUACGAACAUUUCGAUGAGAUGGUUGCAUUCGUUUUACUUUGUUUAAAAGAUGUCUUGAUAAAAGCAGUUAAUAAAGAUAUAUUUCUAUAUUGUGUUGAAUAACAGGCGACAUGUUAAGAAGUUUGUUUUGAAAGCAUAGUGUGAACAUUUUGGAAUAUAAUAUAUCAGUCAUUGAAAUAUAUGUCACAGAUAUAUGUGAUUCGUUAAAAGUAAAAAAUAAAAAGCAAGAUAAGAACAAAUAUUGGAGGAAUUACAAUGUUCUUCACGCUCCUCGUUCCAUGUUUGGUUGUCUGCAAUAUCGUCUGUUCCGUUGUACUAUUCCAUGUCCUUGGCGCUAUCGAUCGUUGCCAUGGUGACGUUUCUGUUGCGUCAUCCGUACCACUUGUUGACAUCAGCAGAUUAUAGACAGCUAAUUCUACUCGGCGUCUGUGUGGGAUGUUCGUUCGUGAACAGCUUCUUCCUGACGUCCAAGCUCGUCACCUCGAUGAUCCACAUGUUCGAACUCGAGAAGGCUUCCGGUGUUGCGUCCGUGGUCGGUUAUUGUGACCGGAAGGAGCUGAAGAAGGAUUUGGUCUAUAGCCGCCACUACAAGACGUAUAAGCCACAGCGUUGCAGGUCUUGGAAAUCUCGCCACUCUUGUGUCUAAUCUUCUAUACAUGUAUCAGAUAGCCUGCAACUAUUUGGACUUGCAGAGAAGAACUUUAUGUGAUAUAUAACAUCAAUACUCCAAAACCGUUUAAAAUACAUAUAUAGUACGAUUUUAUCCAGAUUGUGAUCACAUUCAUCGGGAUGUAAAACUAUCAAAAAGGGUGAUACAUGUCAUAAUUUUCGAAUAGGCACCAUUUGUGUCGUUAUGGUGGACAGAGUUGUUGUAUACAGUAUUCCAAUAAUUGUCGUUCUUUA